CUACUAGCUGUGAGCUACUAAAUAGACCAUAUUUCUCCUGUAUUAGUUGCUUCUGGGGUUAAAUUCGGCACCUCCUAGGUGCGGCCCAGAAUACGUGACGAGUUAGUGUUUCAUUGUCAAUAAUACUGCGGGGAAACGGUUACUGAUAUUUCUGUGGCUGCACAGGAUCUAAGCGCACACCUUUCAAACUGCAGAUAUGAGUAAAGUUAGGACUCUGAGUGGAACCUGAAUGCUGGUGUCGAGACAGGAUGAGUGACAACACUGUAUCGCCCGAGGGUGCAGAGAGUGGGAAGAAUGAACAUGUCCGCCACUGGCUACAUAGUAGUCCCACUGCCCCACAGGAGUAUAAUGAGGACGUUGCAGGGUCAAGUCUUCUCUGCCCUGGUAAACAGGGCUUGGUGGCCCAGGAGGAGAGAGCAGAGUCACCUAGCUGUCUGUCAAUGAAGAGUGAUCACUCAAUGGGUCAGCCAAUCAACUUCCACCGAGGACAUGGCACAAGAGACAAAAGGUUUGGGCCUGUAUUCACAGUCUCAGAGUAGGAGUGCUGCUACAGGAUCAGCUUUGCCUUUUAGAUCAUGAUGAAUAAUACAUGUACAGAGGGGAACUGAUCCUAGAUCAACACUGCUACUCCGAGACACUUUAGGCCUUUUCGCACUGCAAUGUUCUUAGCCCUGGGCUAAGACUGACCCUGGGCUAGCUUAUCCUGUGUUCACACUAACAGUUGUUAAUCCUGGGCUAAAAUAUCCUGGGGAUAGUGGGGAGCAGACGUUAGCCUGCCUACAUAGCAACCGUUUUUGUUAGCCAUAGCAACCAAUGUUUUCGCACCGAUGAAAGUAUUUGUUUUUUUGUCAGGUUUUUGUCCUCGGAUGGAAGGAUGAAAUAGUAUAAAUGUACUUAAAAUAGCAUGCAGAACUCAUCACAAGAAUAUGCAAAUUAAGUGAAAAUGCAGCUAUUGUGAUUGGACAGUGAAAUAUUCUAUUUUUGACCCCCGUUUCACAACGGCUAUUUUGGCACCGGGUUUCUGGGUCUAGUCCUACAAAGUUGGACCUAACCCUGCUCCGGAGCAAGGCCAGCUAGCCCUGGGCUAAGGUUGGUGCUAGAAUGUGCAAGUGUGAACAUUUGCAUAGCCCCAGGCUAAAAUCUCCAUACACCAAGGGAUAAGGAGACUGCAUAUGGGUGAAUAUGGGUCCUGAUUUCCAACUGUCUUUACAAGCUAUGUUAUAGGGUUAGGGUACUAACUGUAUUUUUCACAGGGAGGGUGCAGAGUCACCUACAUCCAGCUGUGUGUCAGUGAGGAGUGACCGCUCAAUGGAUCCACCGAUAAACUACAAGAUAGAGUUGAUUCCCAAUCGCAGGUCAUUUAUGAUUUUCACAAUGAGGAUGUUGCAAUGUGUCAAUAUGUCAGGCAAUCGACUUCCACGAGGUCAGGGCACAAAAGACAAAAGGUCUGGGCCCGUUUUCACAGUCUCAGAGUAGGAGUACUGAAUAGUAUCAGUUUUGAUUAGCAUCAGUUUUGAUUAGCAUCAGUACUGAUUAGCAUCAGUUUUGAUUAGCAUCAGUACUGAUUAGCAUCAGUUUUGAUUAGCAUCCGUUUUGAAUAUUAUUUUGCAUAUUGUCUGUUGACGGUUGACUGACCGAAAGCUCAGCCACAAUUAAAUAAAUACUUUUGCAUCUGACUGGAAAUGUGCAGCGGCUUUUUCCUGUUUCUCCAGUUUAGAAUUUUGACUCCAGCACCUUCACUAAAUUGGUUUGGGUGUGGUAGAUUCUGCCUAUUAUCAAUUAGAUCAUAAUGAUUGGACAAGGGGGACUUGAUCCUAGAUCAGCACUCCUACUCGUAGACACUUUGAAUACACUUUGAAUAUGUGAUUUCUAAUAGACAUCUUGCAGAUCGGUAAAAGCGACUGUACAUCAUGAGCAUAGGAUUGAUUAAAAACACACCUCAAUAAUGUUUUUUGCAGGGAGGGAGCAGACUCACCUACACCCAGCUAUCUGUCAAUGAAGAGUGACCAGUCAAUGGGUCCAUCUUCAAGGUCAUUUAUGAUUUUAAUUAAUUUAUGAUUUUUUAAAUAAUUUAAAGUAUCUAAAGUGUGUCAUGUGGGAAUUCAUUACCAUAAAAAAAUAAACAAAAUGAAAAUACACAAUACCAUGCAUGUAUGUAUAAAAAACCCACAUUUGAGGUGAUCCAAAACAUCAAUGUGUUUAAUUUCAAAUGAAUGUAUUUCCACCUUCACCUCCACCUUAUUGUAGGAUGAUGACAUCAGACACAACACAACUGUCCAUUGGUGGAGUGCAUGCAACAAUGGUAUGUUUGCAAGUUUUAAGCUGAAACUCUAUGUUUUCAUAGUAAAUGUAUAUUCAGUGGAUUGUUCUUAGUUUCAAUAAUAAUAAACAAUAGGCAUUGGUGAUUUGGCAAAUAAAAAAUAUCAACUAUAUGUGCAGGUACAGUAACUGUUAAUUGGUUUAAAAAUAAAUACAACUGCCUAU